rnacentral:rRNA from 1 species
UGGGGAAUCUUCCGCAAUGGACGAAAGUCUGACGGAGCAACGCCGCGUGAGUGAAGACGGCCUUCGGGUUGUAAAGCUCUGUUAUUCGGGAAGAACGAUUCGUUUGUGAACAAUGAACGGAAGUGACGGUACCGAAAGAGAAAGCCACGGCUAACUACGUGCCAGCAGCCGCGGUAAUACGUAGGUGGCAAGCGUUGUCCGGAAUUAUUGGGCGUAAAGAGCGCGUAGGCGGUAUGGUAAGUCUGUCUUAGAAGUGCGGGGCUUAACCCCGUGAGGGGACAGAGACUGUCAUACUGGAGUCUCGGAGAGGAAAGCGGAAUUCCUAGUGUAGCGGUGAAAUGCGUAGAGAUUAGGAAGAACACCGGUGGCGAAGGCGGCUUUCUGGACAAGCACUGACGCUGAGGCGCGAAAGCGUGGGGAGCGAACAGG